AUUUUGUACAGCAUGCAGAAUAGUGAAUUGAAUAAACCUCUUUUCUUUAUAAAUUACCCGAUCUCAGGUAUUUCUUCGUAGUAAGGCAGAAUGGACUAAAACUGGCUGCAUCCUACAAAAUUGAUGUUUCAUUUCCACUUUCAUUCAGUUAAAAAUAUUUUUAAAUUUAUUUUGAGAUUUCAUCUUUGACCCAUAGGCUACUUAGAAGCAUGUUGUUUAAUCUCUAUGUAUUUUGAUUUCUAGUUUAAUCUCAUUGUGGUUUUAUAACAGAUGUUGUAUUUCUGUUCCUUUAAUUUUGUUGGGGUGUGUUUUAUAGCCUACCUUGGUAAAUGUUGUUUGUGAGUUCAAAAAAAAAUGUGUACCUUCUUGUUAUUGGACAGAGUAGUCUAUAUAGAUUUAAAUUACAUCCAGCUAAUUAAUGGUGUUAGUGAGUUCAACUAUGUCCUUACUGAUUUUUCUGCCUAAUGGAUAUUUCCAUUUCCGAGAGAAGGGUAUUAAAGUCUCCAACUAUGUGUCCAUCUAAGAGAAGAAAAUUUGGAUGCAUGGAGAGGCUACACCAACAUGAGCUUGUAUAAAGGAAAAAGCUAUGAGAGGAUAACCUAAGAAGAUGGCCAUCUAUCCGCAAGCCAAGAAGAAAAGUCUUAGAAGUAAUCAAACCUGGAAGCACCUUGAUUCUGGACGUCUAACUUCUAAAAUUGUAAAAAAAUAAAUUUUUGUUGUUUAGGCCACACAGUCUAUGGUACUUUGUUGUGGCAGCCCAAGCAGAAAAAGACACUGACCCAAUGCACUUUAUUUCUCAGUACAAUAGCUGUUCUAAUUAUAAUUUUUUUAUGGGCCACAUAAACAAAAUCUAAUGCAGAAAAAAAAUCAGAUUUGAAUGGGACCUCAAAGAAUAAUUACUGAAAAAAACUAUCUUGUAUACUUAAAAUAUUUUACUUUAUUUUCUGUUUUAUUUUGUGUUUUAGAGUAACUGUGUGUGUACAUAUCCGUUAUUUGAGGAAGGAGAUAAAUGGUUUUGGAAAAGGAGUAUUUUAAUGCCAAAUAAAAUAAAUUAUCAUGUGUGUUUGUAGCUAAAAUACUUAAAUUUUAAUACACCUUGGGUCAGGCGUAGUGGCCCACACCUGUAAUUGCAGCAAUUUGGGAGGCCAAGGCAGGUGGAUUGCUUGAACCCAGGAGUUCCAGAUAUGUCAUGGCAACAUGGCAAAAUCUCGUCUCUACAAAAAAUACAAAAAUUAGCCGAGUGUAUUGGCACAUGCUUGUAGUACCAGCUACUCUGGAGGCUGGGGUGGCAGGAUCACUUGGGAAGUUGAGGCCGCAGUGAGCAGUGAUUGAGUUGCUGCACUCCAGCCUGGGCAACAGAACAAGACCUUACAUGUAAAUAAAUAAAUAAAUCAUUUCAUUCUUAGUGGGCACCAUUGGUUAACUGUCAAAAUCAAUCUAACUUUCAUAAGCAAAGAAAAAAUACAAAUGAAAUAAGUAAUUAAUAUUUUGUAUGUCUUCCACCUCUAAUUCUAUAAUUGGUCAGA
rnacentral:lncRNA from 1 species